rnacentral:rRNA from 1 species
AUUGAACGCUGGCGGCAGGCCUAACACAUGCAAGUCGAACGAGUGGCGGACGGGUGAGUAAUGUCUGGGGAACUGCCCGAUGGAGGGGGAUAACUACUGGAAACGGUAGCUAAUACCGCAUACCAUCGGAUGUGCCAAGGUGGGAUUAGCUAGUAGGUGGGGUAAAGGCUCACCUAGGCCAAGAUCCCUAGCUGGUCUGAGAGAAUGACCAGCCACACUGGAACUGAGACACGGCACAGACUCCUACGUGAGGCAGCAGUGGGGAAUAUUGCACAAUGGGCGCACGCCUGAUGCAGCCAUGCCGCGUGUAUGAAGAAUGCCUUAGGGUUGUAAAGUACUUUCAGCGGGGAGGCGUUACCCGCAGAAGAAGCACCGGCUAACUCCGUGCCAGCAGCCGCGGUAAUAC